GGAUGAACGCUGGCGGCGUGCCUAAUACAUGCACGUCGAGCGAACGGCCGAGAAGCUUGCUUCUCUGAUGUUAGCGGCGGACGGGUGAGUAACACGUGGAUAACCUACCUAUAAGACUGGGAUAACUUCGGGAAACCGGAGCUAAUACCGGAUAAUAUUUUGAACCGCAUGGUUCAAAAGUGAAAGACGGUCUUGCUGUCACUUAUAGAUGGAUCCGCGCUGCAUUAGCUAGUUGGUAAGGUAACGGCUUACCAAGGCAACGAUGCAUAGCCGACCUGAGAGGGUGAUCGGCCACACUGGAACUGAGACACGGUCCAGACUCCUACGGGAGGCAGCAGUAGGGAAUCUUCCGCAAUGGGCGAAAGCCUGACGGAGCAACGCCGCGUGAGUGAUGAAGGUCUUCGGAUCGUAAAACUCUGUUAUUAGGGAAGAACAUAUGUGUAAGUAACUGUGCACAUCUUGACGGUACCUAAUCAGAAAGCCACGGCUAACUACGUG
rnacentral:rRNA from 1 species